GAUGAACGCUGGCGGCGUGCCUAAUACAUGCAAGUCGAGCGAACGGACGAGAAGCUUGCUUCUCUGAUGUUAGCGGCGGACGGGUGAGUAACACGUGGAUAACCUACCUAUAAGACUGGGAUAACUUCGGGAAACCGGAGCUAAUACCGGAUGAUAUUUUGAACCGCAUGGUUCAAAAGUGAAAGACGGUCUUGCUGUCACUUAUAGAUGGAUCCGCGCUGCAUUAGCUAGUUGGUAAGGUAACGGCUUACCAAGGCAACGAUGCAUAGCCGACCGGAGAGGCGGGUCGGCCGCACGGGAACGGGGACACGGUCCAGAGUCCUAAGGGAGGCAGCAGUAGGGUACCUUCCGCAGUAGGCGGAAGCCUGACGGAGCAGCGCCACGUGAGAGAUGAAAGUCUUCGGAGCGUGAAACUCUGUUAUUAGGGAAGAACAUAUGUGUAAGGAACUGUGCACUGCGUGACGGUAACUAGUCAGAAAGCCACGGCUAACUACGUG
rnacentral:rRNA from 1 species